rnacentral:lncRNA from 1 species
UCCACGCUCUCUCCUCUCUCUUCUCUCCUCUCUCUAGGACGACAUGGUGUAGUAACGCAAGUAUAUUUAGGAUGACGGCUAAUUCAACUUUAUCUAAUUAAUUUAUUCAUUUGCUACUUUUCCUAUGCCUUUGAUUCCUCUGACUUUUCAUCCUCCCCUUCCCUCUCUCCCGCUUUCAAAACAAUUAGUCUCUUGGAUAUCACCAAUGCUUUACAAAUUAGAAGCUGUUAUACCAUAUUUUCUCUAACUGAGAAAUUUAGCUUAUUUGUUCAGUAAAUACGAGACAUGAGUGACACGGUGUAGUAUAGGUAGAUGCGUAGCCCUCUCCGUCAAGUUAACAUCAGAAGGAUUAAGGUUGAAUCUCAAGAGCCUUUGUUUGUAUCUCGUUUCCGAAUCCGCCGACCGUUUGGAUUGGUUAGGGUUGAAUCUCAAGAGCCUUCACAGUUUUGUAUGGAUCUCGUUUCCGGAUCUCGUCUCCAUCAAGUUAACAUCAUAAGGGUUAAGCUACCGCAAUAUACGAAGAUUCAAUUUGUUGAAGAUAAAACUGGGAAGGUUAUCAAGCAUGUCCAGAAAUUCAAUUUGCGCUAAGCAAUUUGGUUUUCUAUUAAUAUAUUUUAAUGUAUUUUCAAUGUAUCACACUGUAUUUUCAUGUAAUUCAUUAUAUUCAUUGUCUAUUUUUUCAUUGUAUUCACUGUCUUUUUUUUAUUAUUAUAUUUCAAUGUAUCCCGGUGUAUUCUAUGUAUUUCAUUAUAGUUACUGUAUCGUUAUAUGUCAUGAAUGUAUUCAUAUAUUUUUUUAAUUAAUAUAAUUUAUGUAUUCAGAUGUAUUAUAUAAUUUCUUUGAAGAUUGCUAU